rnacentral:rRNA from 1 species
CAGUCGCCGCGGGAACACGUAGGGUGCAAGCGUUAAUUGGAAUUACUGGGCGUAAAGCGUGCGCAGGCGGUUAUAUAAGACAGAUGUGAAAUCCCCGGGCUCAACCUGGGAACUGCAUUUGUGACUGUAUAGCUAGAGUACGGCAGAGGGGGAUGGAAUUCCGCGUGUAGCAGUGAAAUGCGUAGAUAUGCGGAGGAACACCGAUGGCGAAGGCAAUCCCCUGGGCCUGUACUGACGCUCAUGCACGAAAGCGUGGGGAGCAAACAGGAUUAGAUACCCCAGUAGUCCCUGUCUCUUAUAC